rnacentral:rRNA from 1 species
UUUCAGUUAAUCUAGAAUUGUUGAAUAUGGAUGGAGGUAUUGGGCCGCUGAAAUGAUUCACUUGAAGGACAAGCAACUCAAGCAUUGGUAAGGAGCCAAUACAAGAUGGUAUAUGUCCUGACAGGCUGUUGUUGCCUAUGUUCAGGUGAGUUAUCAGAGGGGUAUUAUUAAAUAGAUAGGUGGGUAUUGAGCCGCUUAGGUAAUUCCUGAAGACACUGAAGUAGCCAAGACUCUGCAGGUUCUGCAGUUCUACUGGUAUUGAACCAGA